UUCAGCGGCGGACGGGUGAGUAAUGCCUAGGAAUCUGCCUGGUAGUGGGGAAUAACGUCCGGAAACGGGCGCUAAUACCGCAUACGUCCUGAGGGAGAAAGUGGGGGAUCUUCGGACCUCACGCUAUCAGAUGAGCCUACGUCGGAUUAGCUAGUUGGUGGGGUAAAGGCCUACCAAGGCGACGAUCCGUAACUGGUCUGAGAGGAUGAUCAGUCACACUGGAACUGAGACACGGUCCAGACUCCUACGGGAGGCAGCAGUGGGGAAUAUUGGACAAUGGGCGAAAGCCUGAUCCAGCCAUGCCGCGUGUGUGAAGAAGGUCUUCGGAUUGUAGAGCACUUUAAGUCGGGAGGAAGGGCAGUAAGUUAAUACCUUGCUGUUUUGACGUUACCAACAGAAUAAGCACCGGCUAACUUCGUGCCAGCAGCCGCGGUAAUACGAAGGGUGCAAGCGUUAAUCGGAAUUACUGGGCGUAAAGCGCGCGUAGGUGGUUCAGCAAGUUGGAUGUGAAAUCCCCGGGCUCAACCUGGGAACUGCAUCCAAAACUACUGAGCUAGAGUACGGUAGAGGGUGGUGGAAUUUCCUGUGUAGCGGUGAAAUGCGUAGAUAUAGGAAGGAACACCAGUGGCGAAGGCGACCACCUGGACUGAUACUGACACUGAGGUGCGAAAGCGUGGGGAGCAAACAGG
rnacentral:rRNA from 1 species